ACAGAAUCAGGGCAUGGGAGACACUGCUCAGCUCUGCCACUAACCUGCCGUGCGAAGCUGGCCAAGUCACUGCACUCCUCUGGGCCUCAGGUUUUGCAAUCAGAGGGCUGGCCGAAGAGGUAAAUGACAGUGGUUAGGGAUGGGGGCACUGAAGCCAGACUUUCCGCAUUCGGACCCUCCCUCUGCCAUGCUCAGAGGGAGGCUUGGGCAGGUUACUUAACAUCUCUGGGCUGUGGGUUCCUCAUCGGUGAAAUGGGAAUAACAACAGAAUCAAUUUCACAGUGUUGUUGGGAGGAUUAAAGGGGAUACUUACUCCAGGUAAAGAGCCCUUAAGACAGCUCGGGGUCCUCAGGAAGCCCUUGUUACCAUCAUCGGACAUCACCACUCCUGCCACGGUUGCCAGGGCCCCGUCCAGCACCGGCAGCCUGAUGUCGGCAGAGGAAGGGUGAGGUCUCUGCUCCCCUGCAGCGCCUCCUUUCCCCUCUUCCCUCCAGCUAUGGCAACAACAGCUGAAGUUCACUCUUAGUUCCAGCGACUGGCUACCCUCCUGAAUUAAGGACUGAAGGCCCCAGGCCUGCCACCCAAGGUCCAGGUGCAAGAGGGGUGAGCCACCGGUCCUUGCCUUCAUCACACCCAGGCUUCCACACGCUCCUUCAAACAGGCCUUUGCUUCACGUGCAAGAGAAGAUGCCAACCCUCACGUCUGGGGCGGGGGUGCCCACAAAUGCCUUGGACGUGAGCUUUGACGGGGGUCAUGGUGCAGGUCCUGCCAGGGCACCUUCAACCACAGGGGACUACCUGCAGCCCACAGAGGGUCCCCUGCAGGCCAAUGGGACUCUGCCACCCUGGCUGCCACCCUGCUUAGCCACCUGGUAAGGAAAACAGGCUGCAGACUCAGAGGCAGUACGGGCUCAUAUGCUAGCGAGACAACACAACAAGGGAAGGAUGUGCAGGACGAGGGAGCCAUGGAGACCUCACCGCAGCCUCAGCCACCCACCAGCAGACCCUGUGCGGACGCCGGGCAGGCCACCCUACCAACUCUCAGGAUGCUCCUGCAGGCCCUGCGGGUGGACAGGGUGAACGGAGGCACAAGGAGGGGUCUCAUCCUGUCACCCAGGAGCUGGAGUACAGUGGUGUGGUCAUAGCUCACUGCAGCCUCAAACUCCUAACUCAAGCAAUCCUCCUACCUGAGCCUCCUGAGGAGCUGGGACUACAGGCAAGCGCCACUACCCCUAGCACCUCUGUUGCCCAGACUGGUCUCGAACGCCUGGCCUCAAGCGACUCUCCCACCGCAGCCUCCCAAAGCUGGGAUUACAGGCGUGAGCCACCACGCCCAGCAAAGAUUGCUUUUCAAUCAGGAAGACAGAUGCUUCUUAGCACUUCUUGUUCUUCUUCUUUUUUUUUUUUUUGAUACGGAGUAUUGCUCUGUUGCCCAGGCUGGAGUGCAGUAGCACAGUCUCGGCUCACUGCAACCUCUGCCUCCCGGGUUCAAGAGAUUCUCCUGCCUCAGCCUCCAGAGUAGCUGGGAUUACAAGCGUGCACCACCAUACCUGGCUAAUUUUUGUAUUUUCAGUAGAGAUGGGGUUUCGCCAUGUUGACCAGCCUGGUCUUGAACUCCUGACCUUAAGGGAUUCACCCGCCUUGGCCUCCCAAAGUGUUGGGAUUACAUGCGUGAGCCACCACCCUCGGCCUGCUUCUUAGCACUUCUAACCUCUGCCCCUUGGCAUCACCUGGCCAAGCAGAUGAAAAGUUCCAGUGAGCUGUCAGCCGGCACCAGGCUGGGGUCUUCCCUAGGCAGCUCCAAGUGGCUAGGAUCUGGCUUCUUUUCCAGAGCUGGGUCCAGAAACCAAGAUCGGGAAUGCGUGAUGGCUGCUCUGCGGGCCCUUGCUAUGAGGUCACUUCCCUGGUUCCAGUGAUCGGCCGCUGGCUGUAGGGAGCAUGUGGGUUCAGCCAGGGUUUGUGUCAACAUGGCUCUGCUCUAUCCACGGCCUAGUGGGUUCCUCCACCCCCCGCUGCAUGACAACCCCAGGAAAAAUGUUAGGAGGGAGGGAGCCGCUGGGGGUGUGACAGGAGAGACUUUCCAGGGACAGAUUUGUAAAAACUGCUUCAAAGUCCUCUCCAAGGACUUUCAAGGCCUCCACUGCCCCCUACUGACAGGUCACGGCUCGGGCAGAGAAAGCUGGGGAUGGAGCUGGCGGGGGGAGGGUGGCCAGCACCCGCAAGGCAAGGAGAUGAGCUGGGAGAACAGGGGCUGGGAGGGCAGCCCCAGGCCAGCUCCUGUCUCCAGAACCACUGUCUCCCUCCUCUGGCCACAAAGUGAGGCUGGCCAGACACAGGCCUACUCCACAGGCUGGGAGGCUGGGCGUGAAAGCACUGUGCUUGCAUGGGGUACCCCAUGGUGAAUACCAUCAGAGCCAACCCCCAGGGUCUGCUGUCCUACAGGGAAGCCAGUGUAAGGCGCCCAUGGAACCCAGAAGCAUCUAAAGGAUUUGACAGCCAUGAGCUGGGAGGAUCCAGUUCUGUAGCAGGAGAAAGAGAGGCAGAGAGACAGGUUUCGCAACAUCUGCCCCAUCCGCUGUGUUGCCCUGAGCACAGCCCACCCCUCUGUGGUCCCGAGUCUCAGCUCUGAGGUCUCUAAGACCCCCUGGGUCCCCGCAGCUCAGGAUGCUCACUUGAAAACCAGGCCCAGCCAGCAGGGCCUCCCUCGUCAGCCUAUUACUGGCCAGCUCCUGCCCAGCACCCUCCAGCUCAUUAUCCCCAUCUGUGCAAACUCCACACCAGCACCCUAAGCCCUUCUUCCUCCAGGAAGGAGACUGUCCCCAGAUGUGUCCCCUGUUCCCUUUCGAUCAAAGCCCAGAAAACAGGAACCAGCCUUGCGCCUCCUCUCCCCACCGAACUGUUGGCCUUUUUGGAUGCCCUCUCUGAUUCUCUGCCAACAUCCCCACAACACAAUCAGCCCUCAGUCCCUCCCCAAAUGCAAUCGGCGAGCACGCUGUAGCCCAGGCGGACGGUGAUGUCCCCAUUUUGCAACCUGCGAGAGCCAGCACACCUCUCAGCCAGGUGGGCUGCAGGAGCCAGUCGUGGCGAGGGCAGGAGGCCUGCGUGCUGACGGCAUCGGCACCAUCAAAAUUACGGUCAGAUCAAGGUCACGGUCAACGAGCUUCUCCACCUGCAAUUUCCUCCUCACCAAGGUGGCCUCAGCCUCAGCCUCGGCCUCAGCCUUGGUCUUGGCCUCAGGAGCUGCAGACACACCCCCAAGUCCCCACCCCAGGAGCUUGGCCUCACACACACCGGAGGACACGGAGCUGGGGCACAAAUAGCCAAGAACAGGUACAUCUGCAACCAGGAGCAGGGGGCGGAGGGCUGCUGAGAUGCUCCCAUUCUCACCGGCUGCCUCCUCUGACGGCUUACCACUUAUUAUACACUGACUGUAUAACCAGGGCUGUGACAUGUCUGCUUCUUACAUUAUAUCAUUAAAUCCCCAAAUUUGUCCCCAAUUUACAUACGAUGAGGCAAAUUCAGAGUCAAUAACCUGCUUAUCAGCUUCUGAACCCAUGGGUGGCUCUAACCUCCCUCCUUCCAGCUCCUUUGGGCCCACAUGAGUACUGAGGCACAAGGGAACCCCACCAGCUGGGAAGUGUGCCCUCCCUCUGCUGACCCCACAGCCCUCCCAGCCUGUGCCUGAAGCUGCCAACACCCUCCCAUCCAGCACUGCUCUCUGUAGCCUGAGCUGUCGCUGUGUGACCCAGGGUUAGUGCCCUAACCUCUCUGGACUACAUCUGCAAGAUGAGGAUGCCGCCGCACAGCCUACUUCAAAUGGUCACUAAGUUGCCUGCACAGCUAACAUCUGCCGAGCCUGUGACACGACCAGCUUUGCUUCAAUUUCGAAUGUGGUACUCCCACCCAGUUUGGGGGUGGAACUGUUAGUUCCUCUUUUUCUGGAUAAGGAAGUUGAAAGGCUCCAGAAGGCACCAAGGUCAGCUGAUCUGCCAGUAGGUACAGUGUCCACCUGUCACUCACAGCCCUCCCUUGACCGCUUCGCCUGUCUCCCCAGUUGAGAUUCUGUGUGUACUUGAACACUUUGCCAAUGGUUGAACCUGCACCAGGGUCACUGUGUCAGCUGGGCCUGCCAGGCCACCGUCCCCGAGCUCUGUCCAAGGCAGGGCCAGUGUUCAUACCUUGCUUCCUUGCCAGUGUCCCACCCAAGGCCCUGGAAAGGCCCUGGAGUCAGAGAUCCGGCUAAAUCCUGGCAAUGCCCCAUACCUGCUGUGUGACUAUGGGCCAGCGACUCAGCCUCUCUGUGCCUCCCGGGUUGCUGUGAGGGUUACAGGAGAUGCACAGAGGGCCCUGAGCUUGGUGGCUGGCAUGCUGCAAAGGCUAGUUACGUGGUGCAAGGAUGGCACUGAUGACAAUAAAUGAAUCGAACGAAAACCAGGCUAACUGGGCCUGGGGAGGGGCGCUGGUUAAACAGACCCGAGUGGAUCAGGACCUUGCACAUGAUGAGCAAGCGGGAACAGCUCCAAAUAGCAAGUCGGGCAGGCCCAGGAUGACUCAGCCCUGGGUGCUGUCCAGGGCCCCCUCUCGGCUCCCCUGCCGGCCUGGUCUCCUCCUGUUCCAGCCUGACUGCCCCUAUGGGCUCCAACAAGUUCCUGACCAGGACUGAGGCAGAACAGACAGGGCUCAAGACCCUGCAGGCAGGCACAGAGUGUGGAUGGCAAAAGGAGAUGCUCCAGGCCCCCUGCCGUCCUUCCCUCCCCGAAGGCUGACAAUGUCAACCUACAGAAGAAGCUGUUCUUCCCGGCCUCGGAUCCCAUCUCAAUACAGUGUAUGAGGCAGCUGUGCCCAAGGGGUGUGACCACUCCUGCAGAUGGAACCCAUUCACUGUGCCCAGCCCAUUGCCAGAGCCCGGAGGACGGGGGAAGUGAGGUGGGGCAUCUCCCACAGUGAAGGGAAAACCCAGUCUAGCUAUUUUUUCUUGUGUUGCUUCUGGAACUCACCCUGUCAUGGCUCUACCCUAACUCAGCUUCCCAAAGCCUCAGAGAGCUUUGUCCUUUCCCCUGCAUCCCAUCUCGUCCACUUGUGCUGGGUUAGUCCCCCAGAAGCCCCGUCUCCUGUCACUCCCAGGGCACCAAGGCUGGUUGGUGGGUUUAGGGAUUCCCAUCUUCUGAUCCAGCCCCAGUGGCUCACCCCACACUCACCGGCACUCACAGGUGUGUCUCCCACCUCCGGCCUCUGCACAGGCGGCCCCACAUUCUGGGAGCUCAGCCUCCCCCAAGGACUCACGCCAGAGCACAGGGACCUCUGUCUCUGACUCCUUCUUAGCUCCAAUCACGAGCAGUCCAUGUCAUAGCAAUUCCUUAGCUGCUUGUAGCUGUCUGCUAAGUUAUGAUAAUGGCCUUUGCCCUCUAAUCUAAUGUCUGCAUACAGACAAAUCGCCACAUUCUAAGCAGACCAGAUACCACUUCCUCCAGGAAGUCUUCCCUGACUGCUCCAGUUGGACAGAGGCUUCCCUCCUUUGUGCUCCCCUAAUGCUUAACAGGCAUUCACUGAGCACCCGUGACAUGCAAGGCACCCACAACACAAGUCAGUGUCCCCUGCCCUCCCAGAGGGCAUAUGAACAAAUAAACGGCAAGACUCUCCAAUACUCAUCCAUGCCCCAUAGAAAGCCACCCACAGGCAUGGGAGGGCUGUUUUAACUGCGGGUGACAGGGAGGCCUCUCCAAGAUGGCAGCGCUUCAGCAAGACCUGAAUGAGGCGGCCAGGAGGUCUAGGGAGGGACUUUCCAGGAGGGAACAAGUGAAUAUUCUUCCGUGAGGAUGAGCCCUCAUGUUCCAGGAGCAGCCAGGCCAGGGGACCGGUGCAGUGAACAGGGGCUGAGGGGAGUGGCCAGGUGACGUAGGGUCUCACAGGCCGCCCCACGAUGAGUCAGCGCCCCAAGCACAGCAGACACCCAGGGAAGGUUUAGGCUGGGGAGUGAUCUGAACAGAUUCUCCAUCCAGGAGCUCACCGGGGCUCCUGGGCUCACGCUGUUGCGCCACUGCAUGCCUCCGGGGGCUCGGGGGGGCACCCUUUACACCAUCAUCACAGGCAGCACUCCUGGGGGAGGUGUGCUGUGCAGGGGACUCGCUGGCCACCCUGUCGGGCAAACCACAGGGGACUGUGUAGGACAGGCGGUCAGUUCAGGAGGGACAACUACCCAAGCAGGGGUCAGAGGGCACUCGGAUUCGGGAGGAGUGCUCAACUUCUCAGGCCCAGGCAACCAGAGGUGGGGGGCGGGGUGCUGCUUCCUGACAUGGGAGGCCUGGGGGCCUGGCUGCAUUUCCUGGUGUGGAGGUGCUGGGAGGUGUGGAGGCCUCCUCCUGAGGCUGGGACCCUCUGGCCAUCCUGACCCACUGUUCCGAUCCUAUCCUCCAGUCUGAGGGCAUGGCCUGAACUCACAGCCGCACACACUCCCCUCUGCACAGGGCCCUGCGGGGCCGGCACAGCAGCCUCUCCUCUACAGAUCAGGAUGCUCAGCUCCAGGAGGGCUGGGACUGUCCAAGACCGCACAACCAGGGUCAGACACAGCUGGGCCAACCUUGUGACUUCUGGCUCCACGCACAGAUUCUAAGCACACAGGUAAAACUCUGCUGGCUGGGAGGGUUGGGGGGUAGAUGAGCGGGGGGCAGCUUCCUCUUAGCCUCCCAACAUGCCAGGUCCCUGGGUGGGAGGGGGCACAAAGACCCUACCUUUCCCAAGAGACAGAGAAAGAGGCAGUGGAGGGUCCCUCUCUGGCUGAGGCUCCAGGUCCUGAGUGGUGAAUGCAACCCCACUUGGAGGCUGGAAGUCAGGCGGCCUUGGGGGUGUGCGAGGCCCGCCAGCUCAGCUGCAGCUCCUUCCAUGUAAGGGAACCCCCCCCAGGCAGCGUCCCCAUGACCAGAGAGGGGGCCAGGAAGAGGUGAGGGCUGUAUCCAGAGUGACACUCGGGUGGGCUUCACCCUGGGGACACGGUCACAUCCCCCUCCCGGACCUCUGAAGCCCUCAGGUGCGGGUCAAGGGCUCUCAGCUGCAGGCAGGAGAGGGCCCCACAGCCACAGAUCUGGGGAGUCCAGCUUGCAAAGCCCAGAGGCUUCCGGAGGCCGCUGGCCCGGCUUCCUGUGCAGCUGGGUUUUCCUGGGAGGCCCUCCUCCGGCACUCUCAGUCCCCAGCCCGCACGACCUCCCACAGCUGGGCCCAUCUUCCCAGGCCCGGGUCACAUGGUGCAGGUCAGUGGGGCUCUGGGGGAGGGCAGGGCGCCAGGAACAGCCCCGGGGGUGGGGGGACUGGAGCAGAGCUCACUUUGGCCGCCUGCCCACUUUGCAUGAAGGACGCUAGACUUCCACAUGUGGUCACUCGACUUCGCCCAACUAUGCGUAAGUCCUGGUUACCCUCACCCUACUGAUGGGAAUUAAACUGGCCAAGGAGAAGCUCAGAAUCUGAGCAGAGCAGGGGUCCAAGCCUCCCAGGAGUUCUAGGUACCCCCCAGCCCCUCCUUCCGAGUACUGAGUCCACACACUCAGUGCCCGGAUGCCCAUUCACUUGGGGGCCCGGCGACCGCCAGUCAGCAUGGCUUACAAAGGGCUUCUGUGCAACAGGUCUCAUUUGAUCCUCCCAAAAACCCUCCGAGGCAGGACAAUGUUAUUCAACCCAUUUUACAGACAAAGCAACUGAGUCAUAAAAUGGCUUGCCAAAAGAUACAGAGGCAGAAAGAUCAACAGCAAAGAGCUUCUCUGUGAUCCUGACCAGCAAGGCCCCCAGAAAAAAGCAAGGGACCCCGAGGCCCUCACAGGAACAGAGUCCUGGAGGAGAACAAGAGCUUAGCCUCAUGCUACCCUCAAGGGGUACCUUGAAGGUCAAGGUAUUGGGCCCAAGCAGGCUGGACUGUGUUCCCUGUACCCCUCCCACCUCCUGAAGCCCCUUCCCUCCCACCCAGGUGGGCCGUGGAGGUGUCCACAACAUAUAAUGGAACAGCUGGUAGGUCACUGGGCCCCCCACUGAGCCAAGGGGCUCGACCAGAGGCUCAAACAGUGGCACAGAAACCAUGAGCCUCGCUGCAAACCAGCUCAGGCUUUGGAGUCAAGCAGCCCUGUGUUCACAGCCAGGGUCAGCCGCUUCUAGCUGUGUGGCCUGAGGCCAGUUCCUCAACCUCUCUGUGCCUCGGUGCCUUCUCUGCAGUAGUAACAGGAACCGUUUUCUACGGCGAUAGUGCAGAUACAUCCCAUGAAGCGCAUAAAGCUUCGAGCCCAGCGCCUGGAGUACGUCAGGACGCAGUAAGUGGUCACUUAUGAUUCAUGAAAUAUUAAUAAGGUGAGGGGUGGAAUGACAGCCUCCUUGCGUUGUCCCUAAAAUGGAAACAAAUCUGCUCAGCGCUCAAAGCAGCAGAAAGUGAGCCAAGGACAGGCUCCCAGCGACAUGCCCUGGCAGAGUGUUCCCUGCUGGCCCCAGGCAGGGCUCAGGGCGGGCGGCCACCCUCCAGAUGAGCUCAUCGCUGGCACCUGCUUCCAGAGCACAUGCCUGGACUUUCCAGAUCUUUCCUCCCCUCUCUCUGACCUUCCCCUACUCUGCAACCCCCACCUCCUGCCACUUUCUUACUCACUCUCUCCUUUCAUUCCUGUUCAAAAACAAAUAAUGGAGGCCAAAUGUGUCAGCUGGCUCCCUGGAAAGGCUUCCCUGCAGCAGGAACGCGACGGGGGCAGUGGAGGAUUGCUCAGCGCAAGCCACGUGAUCUCCGCGCGGAGCCGGGGAAGGGGAGGCGCUGAGAUCGAGGGUGCUAGGAUCGAGGCACUGAGAUGGGGUCACUGGACAAUGGCCAGGGCCAGCUCCCGUUCCCACCCCAACAGGGGCCCCCACAUUCAGGGGCCACAUCUCUAAAGUCUCUUGGACAAGAGAGACAAAUCCCAUCACAGGGUCAGAAACGCUGCCUCCAGGCCGCCAUCUGGGUGGGGGUGAGAGAUGCCUCGCCGGUUCCUAAACAUUCACUCUGUGGACAAAACUAUCAAGGGGAACUCAAUGUUUCCACAGCAGCUUGGUCAAGAUAUAGGUAUCAGGCCGGGCGCAGUGGCUCACGCCUGUAGUCCCAGCACUUUGGGAGGCUGAGGCGGGCGGAUCGCUUGAGGCCAGGAGUUCGAGACCAGCCUGGCCAACAUGGUGAAACUCCAUCUCUACUAAAAAUACAAAAAUUAGCCAGGUGUGGUGGUGUGAGCCUGUAGUCCCAGCUACUCAGGAGGCUGAGACAGGAGAAUUGCUUGAACCCUGGAGGUGGAGGUUGCCAUGAGUGGAUAUCACACCAUUGUACUUCAGCCUGGAUGACAGAGCGAGCAAGACAGCCUCAAGAAAAAAAAAGAUGCAGGUAUUGUCUCAGGGUUCACAAGUAUAACCUGAUCCCUGAUGUUGGCAUUUAAUCCUGAUGCAGAUCCCAGCAGGAAAAGGGAGACGAACCAGAAGGCUGUGGGGACGAGGGGUUUACAGCAGUGCUUAUUAGACUUGCUCUGGCAGGCACAAGUGUCCCCUGGAGGCUGCUAGACAAGCAGAGGGCCCACCCCAGAGACUCUGGUUCUGGAGGGCUGGGUUAGGGCCCAGGAAGCUGCAUUUCGGCAGGGAAUUCAGAGCUAUCCUGAGUCCUACUUUGGAAGCAAGAGCCAGGGGGCAGAACAGAACCGGAACCAAAAGCUUCUGUGGGCCCAGUUUCAUGGGGAUGGGCCCGGUUUCAUGGGGAUGGACCCCUGCACCAUCCGAGGUGACCAUUAGCCCGGCUCCCCGGGACCAGCCCUGAGUGCUCCCUGGGGAAAGCGGGACCUGCAGAGGAUGGUUUUCCAGGAUCCGCCUGACCACCCACCCCCAGCCCGCUCUUACCCCAGCUUCCCUGACCUCCAUCCUCCACCUAGAACUCUGGAGACCUGGCCCUGGAGGCCCAGAGACCAGAAAUGAGGGGAGACAAGGGGAGAAGCUCCCCUCCCCAUUCGCUGGCCACGCCAAUGGGCUGACCUCCCAGGAAGCCACACCAGCCACUGCUACUGUCCUGGCCGCCCCGCCUGGCCCCGAGGCUGGGUGAGCAAGCAUUCCGUUCUGCCUGCUUCUUCACCUGAGUCUCCUGCUGAUGUCACGAGAGGCCUGACCACGCGCCCAGGAGGUACAGGACAGAGCCCAGAGCUGUUCAAGAACACAUAAGGCUGAGGCCCGGGUCCUGCACCUGGGAAGGGCCAGGAAGGGUUAAAGGAAAACCCCAGCUGAGCACAAUGGCUCAUGCCUGGAAUCCCAGCACUUUGGCAGGCCAAGGCAGGAGGAUCAUUUAAGCCCAGGAGUUGGAGUUCAGCCUGGGAAAUAUAGUAAGACUCCAUUUCUACAAAAAAAAAUUAAAAUUAAAAAAUUAACCAGGCAUGGUGGCACACACCUGUAGUCCCAGCUACUUGGUAGGCUGAGAUGGGAGGACUGCUGAGCCUAGGAGGUCGAGAUCACAGUGAGCGGGACAUUGGGCCAUUGAACUCCAGCCUGGGCGACAGAGAGAGACCGUCUCAAAAAAAAUCCCUACACUCCAUGGAGCUUAGCAGAACCUUCGGCCAGGGUGUCUCGACUGUGAAAUGAGCGUGGCAGCUGCCAAUCCCCGAGGGUGAAGACCCAUCCACUAGCAACCUGCACCCUGGCACGGUGAGAGGAAGUGCCUGGGGAAAGACGUCGGCCGAGGCAGAGAGCUCAGCCCAAUCCACCGUGGAGGAGCCACUCCAGUUCCAAAGAGAAAGAUCAAUAAACCUCAGGUGAAUGGCCCAAAAGCCAUCCCUGUACACGCAGAGGGUGCAUUCUGGGACAUGUGGAUACCUUCUCCCAGGACAGGAAGCAAAACCAGCAGGCAGAGACGUGAGCCUCCCUGCUCUUGCCGGAGCCAACCUGGAGCCCUCAUCUCGGUCCCCAGGGAAGCACAGACCCCCACCUCCACCGCAGCCAAAAGACUUCCUGUUGACUUUCCCAGCAGCAUCCAGCCCAGUCUUGUGGGGAGAGGCGGCAGGGGGAGGAGACAGAGAAAGAUGAGCUCCUGGCAGCUGUGACUGGGGGGAGAGAAAUGCGGUUCCAAUCUGUUCCUGCUCACCCCACAGACGGGCGGUGUCUUAUUUCAAAAUCCAGGGCAGCUGAGGGACUGAAGGAAGAGGGGGACACCUUCUAACUGGGGUUUUCUUUCAUUUCACCCCAUGGCGCCUUACACAGGAAAGAGCUGGAAGGUCUCGGGCUCCUGGCAUCCAGCCAAAGUCUCAGGCAGGGGCCCAGACACUGGGCUGUGUUAUCACUCCAGGUAGCCCGGGAGUCAGCGACGGCAGAGCUCCACCCCUACCCCGACCACUGCACAGUACCCCGUCUCCAGGACAGCUCAGCAGCCAGGCUGCUCCAGGGUUCAAAUCCAGACACUUAACUGUGGGGGCCUCAGGCAAGUGGCUGAAGCUCUCUGCGCCUUGAUUUCCUAAUCUGGAAAAUGGGAUGAUGAAAGUAACUGUUGGGCAGGGCAAGGGGUAAGUGAAAGCCAGCGUUUGAGAGUGAUGUGGUUAGGACCGUUGUUGUGACCACAUACUGAGCCUUCUCCUCCCACCUGAGACAAGGGUUUCACUGACUGUUGCCAGAAAGAUCUAGACCCAGAAGGACCAGGAAAGUCGUCUCAUUCACAAUCCCAGAGGGAAGGGGAGGUCCCCGUGCCAGCUGGCUGCUGCAGGGGAGAGGGUGGGAGACAGAUGGGGGACAGAGGAGCAGGGGCAGCAGGAGGAACGGCCGGCAGGGAAGUCCGCCUGAGAUCUAAAGGACUGUCCACCAGGAGGACAGCUCAGGCUCUCCCCACUGAGAAAGACUCCUCUGGACAGUUGGGCUGAGGAUUCCCAGGUCCUCUGGGUGGAGCAGAAUCAGCCAUCACUGAAGCCACACAGGCUUGCAAGCACAAGUGGGGGACUGCCCAGGUAUCUCUGUUUCACAGGGGCCAGGCACCAAGGCCAGGGUGGCCAGAGGACAUGACGCAGCCCAGUAGGGGCCUCGCAGAACCACCAGCCAAGAAGACACAUGCAGAAGCACGCAAGUGUUCCGAGGAGGCAAACUUCCUGCUGGACUGAACAUGGGGAGCUGAGCUUCCAAUCACUGAGCCGGGCUGUCCGGCCCGCUUCUCUCUUCCUGAACAGAAGGUCCCCAGACAGAGCAGCCAGGCAACAGCAUGGCCAAGCAGGGGUCUGCAUUCCAGUCCUGCCCUGCAGCCUGACCAGGCUGUCGCCCUCCCAGGAGACACGGGACUGGCCAGGGCUCCCCUAGGCUGCCACAGGAAUAAGGCAGGGCUGUGACCUCUUCCAUGGCCCAGGCACCUGGGGGAGGGACCAUGAGCUCCAGUUCAGGGGACAGACAGGAAACGGAUAGUCCGCCCUCCCCCCAACCACGGAGCUGGCUUCUCCUCCACCGCAUCCUCCCCAGCCAUGCCCCCCACCAGAAGACCACCGCACCCAAUGGGUGGUUUUGCAGCGACACCCAGCCCAAUGAAGUUACCUGGUGGGGGCCUUGGGGGAUGCAGCCUCCUGAAAUACACACGGGCAGUGGGUGAGUCGGAGGCUGCGUGGGGCCUUGCUUCCUGGGGAUGGCCAGGAGGUGCCUCAACCAUCUGUAACCCGAGCCCACAGUGACCGGGACUUGCUGCUUCCCCAUCCCAGCCCUCUCCUAUCAGCAUCCGCUAAGCGUCAGUCAGCAGGUGCCGGCACGGCCUAAGGCAGGCCUGCAGUUAGACCAGCACCGGGGGAGGGACCGGGAGAGAGACCUCUAGAGUGGAAGCCACAGCCCCUCUUCCUCCUAGGCUGGGCAACAGACCACCAUUCCCAGCCAGCCCUGGGGAAGGGGGAGGGGUCAGCUGGGUCGCAGGUACAGCGCUGGGGUCCCCUGAGGUGGCUGCUGCUGAUUACGGCCCCUCUUCUUCCUGGGCUGGGCAACAGACCACCAUCCCCGGCCCACCCUAGGGAAGCGGGAGGGGUCAGCUGGGGCACAGGUACAGCGCCGGGGUCCCUGCGGCGGCUGCUGCUGACCACGGGCCUGUUACUCCUCCUCCAGCUGGGUUGCCACUCCGGUCCUGAAAGCGCCUCCCUCAGCUCCCAACUCGUGCCCAGGAGGCAGCCGACACCCCAAGCGCUGCCACAGCAGGAGGCUGGGCCUGCAAGUGUGACCCGCCUGGGGAGGGGCAGAGGGAAAGACCACCUCCGUUCAAACAGCGGCCUUCUCCCUCCCCUCGGGGGUUCCCACAGGGUCUCCAGUCUCUCUCUGGCCAAGAGGUAAGGAGAGGCAGGAAAGUUUCAGGAACAUCGGCAGAGAAGAGACAGGGCAGGCUGCUAGAGGAAGCAGGUUGUAGGGUGCCUAAGGCUUCAGGCUGGGCUUUGGGAGGCCAGGGUAUGGGCAACCAGGAGGCUCAGGCAGGGAAAUCUGUCCCGCAGGGACCCUGGGAGACAGGGGAGAGGGGACAUGACAGCCGUCCCUUGCUGCCUCCUGGCUGUGGCUUCCAGGGGCCUCAGCUCAGACCAGAAGCACCCCAUGCACCGGGUCUCGGUCCAGCCUGGAAGCACGGCCCACAGACCUACAUGACUACCUGGGCAGUGAUCCCCAAAAGGUCCCCCGUCACCAGCUGGGGAGCUCCCGAGGGGAGGGUGGCUUUGCAGAGCAUCUGGAGACAUCAAUGGGCCGUGAGGAAAGGAGGAGGCGUGGACAUCCUCACGGCCUUAAGAGAAAAUCAAGGCAGAGCUGGAGGCUGGGCGUGGCGGCUCACACCUGUAAUCCCAGCACUUUGGGAAGCCGAGGUGGGCAGAUCACUUGAGGUCAGGAGUUCAAGACCAGCCUGGCCAACAUGGUGAAAACCGGUCCCUGCUAAAAAUACAAAAACUAGCCUGCCAUGGUGACACGCGCCUGUAGUCCCAGCUACUCAGGAGGCUGAGGCAGGAGAAUUGCUUGAACCCAGGAGGUGGAGAUUGCAGUGAGCCAAGAUGGCACCACUGCACUCCAGCCUGGGCAACAGAGUAAAACUCCAUCUUAAGAAAAAAAAAGAGCAGAGCUGGAGGCCAGGCGGCUCUCAGAGCCUGACAAGGAGGCCGUGGGGCUGGGCUGCCUUUCCGGCCAUCUGAGGGGCAGGGACUGGCCCAGCCUGAGCUUCAGACCCACAAGAGGCUGAACCGGAGCGGGACUCCGAGAUGAGGCAGGGCUAUCCUGUCCACACCUGUGUCCAGGCCUCAACAGCCACCCUCUCCAGGAACUCAGUUUGAUGGUCUCUCAGGCUGAGAGGCUGUCAAGGGGCUGUAAGGUGCCGCAACGUGUGAGUCGGUGGGUUCUGAUGUGUGACAGCUCGGGGCACUCCCCCCACCGCCAGGGAACAGGAAUGAGGAGCCCCCCACUCCCAGUGUCUGGCAGGUAGGAGGCCGCCACUGGACUGUGUGCCCAGGUGCCACCAGACCCCGAGGGCCCACGGAUACGGCACAUGACCUUUAAUGACCAACGCCUGUGCAGCAGGUGCUGAGGUGCCCCAACCCCGAGCAAGGCUGGGUUCCUGGAACCCCCCCUCCGGUAGGAGGAUUUGCAGCUGAGGAAUUCUUAAGAAAUUUUUUGGUAGCAAACAAAGCAUGGGGCUGGACGGUGGACCUAUGAGUGCCCUCACAUGAAUGCGGAUAUAGACAGAAAAGACGGCAAACAUUUGUGAACAAAAGGAAUGGCUCCUGCGUAUUGAACUUCCACUUACCGGCCCUUGUCUGGUAUAAAGUCCUCAGGAACUCUCCAACAGCUUCAGUUAGAAACGUGCUUUUGUUUGGCUAUGUGGAAAAUUCUAUACACACUAAGAUAUAUGAUGUUUCUGGUCCUCUCUACGAAUGUUCUAUGCUUUCUGGGUUUAUGAUUUGGAAUUUGCAGACCUCUGCUGCCUCUGUUCCAGAGUCACAAGGAUCUUGGAUGCAGGAAACAUUUUCUAUGUGCAAGGGCCCCCUUCCCCUCUGCCAGGGUCCAUCGGCCUCUCUCUGUCCACAGGUGUCACCCAAACCCUUGCACCUGUGGCCUCCUCUUUCUAAUUACCUCGUGCAACUCGUCAACAGCUUCCCCACCUCCAGAGCUUGGCUGCUGGAGACACACAAGGCACACAGAAUCCGUGAAAUGACACUGAGCAUCUAUUAGGCACUUAUUGUGUGCCUCGUUUGGUAAUAAUAAGUAAAAUCACAAUGCUCUGGG